AGUGCGCCUCAGAGAGCCUUGUCCGCCCAGAGAGAGGAGAGGAAAACUGCAGUCCGGCUGUGAUGCGUAUCGGGGCUCUGCUGGCUCAACGACACUCGCAUGGGAUAAAAACAAAACAGAGCAACCUCCCGGCCAUAUUUUAUCGCGUGUGUGCGUGUGUGUUUGUGCGUGUGUCUGUGUGUGAGGACUUGAGAGAAAUGCUCCUGUAGCGAACAUUAUCGCCCGCGUUUUCUUCCCCCCCUCUUGCCUCACAUUUGGAGCUAACUUGGAGCUCGGACGUUGAGCAAGUUUUGUGUUUUUUUCUUUUUCUUUUUUUUUUUUCUCUAUUAACUUGAAUUACAUUUGAGUCGCUCACUCGGAGCCCAGAGGCCAGGAAAAGAGAGAGAGACAGAGAGAGAGAGAGAGAGACAGAGAGAGAGAUGGAGAACGAAAAGUACUUGCCGGAGCUUAUGGCAGAGAAGGACACGCUGGACCCGUCUUUUCAGCACUCCCUCCGGCUACUGGACCAAGAGAUCGAAAAAAUUCAGAAAGAUGAGGGGAAAGAAGAGGAGAAGUUCAUCGACGUCGUCAUCAACAAGAACAUGAAACUGGGCCAGAAAGUUUUAAUACCAGUCAAGCAGUUUCCUAAAUUUAACUUUGUCGGCAAACUCCUCGGGCCACGCGGGAACUCGUUAAAGAGACUACAGGAGGACACUCUCACAAAGAUGUCAAUUCUUGGAAAAGGAUCCAUGAGAGACAAAGAAAAGGAAGAAGAGCUACGACAGAGCGGCGAGGCCAAAUAUCAUCACCUGAAUGAAGACCUCCACGUCCUCAUCGAGGUGUUCGCCCCGCCGGCUGAGGCCUACGCCAGGAUGGGUCACGCUUUGGAGGAGAUCAAGAAGUUUCUCAUACCAGAUUACAAUGAUGAGAUCAGACAGGCCCAGCUGCAGGAGCUCACAUACCUGAACGGCGGCUCGGAGGAUGCCAAGGUGCCAUCGGUGAGGGGCAAGUCAGCCGUCCGUGGAAGAGGGACACCUGUUCCAGGUCCUCCCAGGACUCGAGGUGGAGUUCCUCCCCUGCAUGCAGCGGUGCCCCGAGGAGCAGCACCCAGAGGAGCCCCACCCAGCCGGGCUCCAUCUUCCAGAGGGAGGGGGGUUCAGAGAGCCAGAGGCGCCCCUCCAACCCCCGGAUACCGGCAGGCUCCUCCCAUAGUUCAGGACACAUACGGCGAAUAUGAAUAUGACGACGGCUACGGAACAGCUUAUGAUGACCAAGGAUAUGAAUCGUACGACAACAACUACAGUAAUCAAGGACAAAACUCAGAUGAGUACUAUGAAUAUGGACACAGCGGCGAAUCAUAUGAAUCCUAUGGUCUGGAAGAGUGGGCAAACAAUCGCGGCAAGGCACCGUCAGUACGAACAACCAAGGGAGUGUACAGAGAUCAGCCAUACUCCAGAUAUUGAACUGUUUAUACAACCCACACCUGAGUCCUCAUGGCUGUUUCAACCCAAGUCCACGUCCCGGCUACAGCAGGCCAAGCCAUCCAACCGUCUCAUUGGUGCUAAAGACUUGACAAAAACCACACAUGAGCUUCCCUCCAGGCGUUCACCCCCUCCCAAAGUCAAACCGAAUUCCCGAAAAAAAAAAAAAAAACGGCCGUCCAACUUCACAGAGAAUCUUCACCUUGGCCGAAAGCUGGACUCUCACAUUUUCACAGUCUGGACGGAGGUGAAUCCUUCGGGGGAGAGGCGGUGGACAAGAUGGACUGACCUGUUGAGAUGAAGAGAAAAAAAAAGAAAUGAAAAAGAAAAAGAAAAGGAGGGAAAAGAUAAUACAUGUAUCACACAUCGUCAGUCUCGGGAGAAAGAAGGGAGGAAGAGAGAGGGAAUCCGUGAGGCAAACGGAGCUCCUCAUCCUCCGGGACGAUGUGUCCAAGUGAAUUUCCUUCGGAGCAUCGGCGCCCUCCGUAUACAUUUUACAUACACACAGGAGUGCUCUGAACUGACUGUGAACCUGCGCCGUGUCUUUCUUUAUUUAGGCUGUUGUCUACCACUUACAUUAGACUUUUAACUGUCGACCUAGCUGGGAGGGUGAGUAAAUAAAUAAUGCAAUCUGCUGAGGGUAUGACAUCACAUCUCGAGCAGACACCUCUAAUCUCAAAUUGUUGGCGCUCAUUAACCUAUAUCCAAUCCACUCCAGCGAAUAAAUAAUUCACCAAGUGCCUUACUGUUGCCUUGUUGUGACAGUUUUUUUGUUUUUUGUUUUUUUUUAUGUUUAGCGUCAGUGCCAGAGUUACAAUAUGAGGCGCUGCGCUGGAAAAGGUAGCAGCUCUUCCUUCUUUCAUGCCGCUUUUUGGUUUUUCUGUAUCGUCACUGUAACGCGAGAACCCGCCACCCCCCCCGCCCCGCACGCAUGACAGUAGGGUCCAUUCCAGAUGUAUUGCUUAAUCAGAAUCGACUUGAGUGGAUAUUACAAUUCCAAAAUAGCUUUCUGUCGGAUAGAGGGCUUCAUUCUGUCUUGUGCAUAAGUCCAGAUAGGCUGAUCCGUAUUCCGCACAGUUGUAUGUCCUCAGUGGCAGACAAUGGUUUUCCAUUAGAGGGAGUGAUUCUCUGUGGAGCCGCGGGCCAAGCCUCACACAAUAACACGGCGACCUAAAGCUCGCAUCUGGGGCUCCCAGAGUCAACUCUCAUCACCUCCGGGGGGCUGACUCCCCCCCACCACCCCUCCGAGGUGGCUUAAAAAAAAACGACAGGCUUAUCUGAAGUGAGCUUGUCCGAGUUAAUAAAGUAAGAGCAGCUUAUUUGAUUAAGAAUGCAUACAAAGGAGGAUGUAGUGAUCUGUCACUGGGAGACGAGUUCAUUCCGGCACUAGAAUGCAGACAGUUAUAUCUCCACGUUCCAUGUAAACCCUGCGCAGUUACAUUUGUGUCAGCUGUGUCUCUUUUCGUUGCGCCGCUUUUAAGUGUUUCGCUCGAUCCCGCCGUUGUUGUCCGUGCUUUUUCCUUUUGCAUUUUCUUAGUUUAGCUUCCCCCUCACAGUAGCCAGCUACGUUUCAGGGAGCCAGCAUUGUUUCACAACAAAGAUUUUAUUUUUUUUUUUUCAAACCCAGCUCGGGGGAUGCAUGUCGGACACUCACCAGGCAGGGAUUUGAGAGAUGAUUUCACGCAGCGGGUCACAGCGGUGGUGACUACAGCUCUCUCUGACGGGACCCACUACCUCAUAUUCAGAAGCGCAUAGUGCGCCCUAAUCCCUCAUCCAAACACUGAUAUCAUCAUCCAUCGUCCAACCCUGUUUUUUACACUUGCGUGGUGCUGGGCAGAUUUGGUCACCUUCAGAACCAGCCAGGCUAGCUGGUUCCCAGAUGUUUCCGGCCCCGUGCUUGGCUAAGCUAAGCUAAGCUAAGCUAACCAGCUGAUUCAGCUUCAUAGUGGCUUUAGAAAUCAAUUGUAAGAUGCGAUUAAAGUCACCUUCAAAAUGUUAUAAUGGCUUCAGUUUUUUCUGAAAGAUGAGAACCUUGGUGCGACCCGUUCAUUUCCCAGUGGCCCUGCAUCAGAUGUAUAAGAGUAACAGGUUAGCGGUGGCUCGCAGUGUCUUUUUUACUUACCACUUGGAGGCGCCACACUGGCUUUAAUUUUACUCCCUUAAAAGGACAUGAGGCAUGAAAGUUUAUCUUAAAAAUAUAUAUAUAUAUAUAUUUUAAUCUCUCAUGCCCUACUUAUAACUAAGCAAAGGUAAAUUAGAUCCCUCCCUUUUUUGGCUUUGAAAGAGCAUUUAAAAGGCAAUGGAUUUUUUGAUUCUAUGAAGUACGCUUCCCCCACUCGUAUUCCUCUUAAUCAUGUUGAGGAUCUAAAGUGGCCGCCUCCUGGCUUUUGUUCCAUAAUUAACUGGAGGGCUCUUUAUCUUACUGAGAUUAAAACACCCUGAUCAAUGUUGAAGUGUCCCUCUGUCUCCUUUAGAACGGAGCGCUAAUGCGGCCACGGGUCAGCGUGUGUCGCCUGCUAAAUGGAAACUCAGAUUGAGAGGGAUCGAUCAUUACAGGGGCCCGCGAGUGAACGGGGGCGGAACAAUAGCAAUAAUACAGAGAAUUUACCACCAUUGUGUUCACCAAUAAAACGCUUUUCAACAAACAGUAAAGCCAUCAAACUUUUUUCUAAUAUAAUUACGUUUGGCGCUUUUUUUUUUAUUUUCGUGAUUAGUAUUUUAGUUGCUUGCAGGGCAAAAGAGCAGAUGCUAUAAAGAGAAAUCAAAUAUAUAAAGAACAGAGAGGCUUUAAAACAAGAAAAAACAAGUCACAGGCAGAGACAAAAGAUGGAGAAAGAAAAAGAGGGAACCACAGGGUGAGAGCAGGUGCAUACAAAUACCAACACUGAAAGGAAAUCUUCUCUUUAUAUUUAUAUGAGCGCUUUGUAGGGAGAAGCAGAUAUCAAGCAGGAACAAGACUGGGGAACAACUUUUUGAGCAAAGUCGA